rnacentral:rRNA from 1 species
AUUGAACGCUGGCGGCAGGCCUAACACAUGCAAGUCGAGCGGAGCGGCGGACGGGGAAGUAAUGACGAGGAAUCUGCAUGUUAGUGGGGGAGAACGUCCGGGAACGGGCGCUAUUACCGCAUACGUUCAGAUGCGCUUAGGUCGGAUUAGCUAGUUGGUGGGGUAAAGGCUUACCAAGUCGACGAUCCAUAUCUGGUCUGAGAGGAUGAUCAGUCACACUGGAACUGAGACACGGUCCAGACUCCUACGGGAGGCAGCAGUGGGGAAUCUUGGACAAUGGGCGAAAGCCUGAUCCAGCCAUGCCGCGUGUGUGAAGAAGGUCUUCGGAUUGUAAAGCACUUUAAGUUGGGAGGCGGUACCUACAGAGUAAGCACCGGCUAACUUCGUGCCAGCAGCCGCGGUAAUAC